AGAGUUAAUACAUUUGGGAACUUCCUGGAAAAGAGUUAAGAGGCACCAUGACAAGCUCCCAAGGACCUCCCUUUGUCCAAGAGGAAAAGAAAUGGUCUCCUGGGCUGUUUAUAAACUCUCACAUUCCCACCUUGUGUGAGAACAGUCAUCUGAAGAACCAGCUCUUAAAAUGAUGACACACCAUCCUCUAGACCUGCUGUUUUUAAAAUGGAUAGAGAGUAGAUGGAUGAAAAUAGUGGUGAAAAGGUACUUCUGGUGUUUUCAACCAGUCGUGACAGGAUGCAGAAAUUCUUUGAAAAAUUCCUUGAAGCUCCACGUUCUCCAAGUCCUUCAUUUAGACAAAGCCAUAAAAAUAAAAUCUGAGAGUAAGCUUAUUUCUUCCCAUGUUUGUUGUUGCUGUUGUUGUUGUUGUUUUUCUUCCAAAGGAGAUACUGAGAGUGUGGGCACACAAGGGGCAAAUUAGUUUUGUAGAUCCAAGAACAGUAAAUGAAGUUGACACAGAUAGUUUUGUAAGGACAAAGAGAGGGAUGUUGUGUAACAUUCUGG